AUUGAACGCUGGCGGCAUGCCUUACACAUGCAAGUCGAACGGCAGCACGGGAGCUUGCUCCUGGUGGCGAGUGGCGAACGGGUGAGUAAUACAUCGGAACGUACCCAGGAGUGGGGGAUAACGUAGCGAAAGUUACGCUAAUACCGCAUAUUCUGUGAGCAGGAAAGCGGGGGAUCGCAAGACCUCGCGCUCUUGGAGCGGCCGAUGUCGGAUUAGCUAGUUGGUGAGGUAAAAGCUCACCAAGGCGACGAUCCGUAGCAGGUCUGAGAGGAUGAUCUGCCACACUGGGACUGAGACACGGCCCAGACUCCUACGGGAGGCAGCAGUGGGGAAUUUUGGACAAUGGGGGCAACCCUGAUCCAGCCAUGCCGCGUGAGUGAAGAAGGCCUUCGGGUUGUAAAGCUCUUUCGGCGGGGAAGAAAUGGCAACGGCUAAUAUCCGUUGUUGAUGACGGUACCCGCAUAAGAAGCACCGGCUAACUACGUGCCAGCCGCCGCCGUAA
rnacentral:rRNA from 1 species